ACAAGGUUUCCGUAGGUGAACCUGCGGAAGGAUCAUUUGUCGAACGUCGCAUUUUAGAAUGACUUGUGAAUAUUUACAAACAAUCGGUGUUAAGGGCACAAGGUCAUGCUUGUGACUCUUUGCGCCUUGCUAUCUAUUGUUGUAGCGCUUGUAAAAGAGUGUUAUGAAUAUGGUGGCACAAUAACAAACCCCGGCACGGAAUGUGCCAAGGAAAUGAAAUCAGAAAAAAGGUUGGGCCUUAGGAACUCCGUUUAUGGUGUCUUUGGUUCUUAACCUUUUUGUUAUAACAAAUGACUCUCGGCAACGGAUAUCUCGGCUCAUGCAUCGAUGAAGAACGUAGCAAAAUGCGAUACUUGGUGUGAAUUGCAGAAUCCCGUGAACCAUCGAGUUUUUGAACGCAAGUUGCGCCCGAAGCCAUUCGGUUUAGGGCACGUCUGCUUGGGCGUCACACAUCGUCUUUCUUUCCAAUAAUAUGUUAAACAACAUAAAUUUGUUGGAGGAGGAGAUUGACUUCCCAUGCCCAUGGUGUGGUUUGUCUAAAAAUUAGUCCUUUGAUUGAUGCCCGACUAUAGGUGGUUGAUAAGACCUUCGUUGGAGUUGGGUGUCAUAAGUCGUAAGGAUCAGCGUGAAUAAAGACCUUCAUGCUUCUUUGAUUGAUGCUUCGAAUGCGACCCCAGGUCAGACGGGACUACCCGCUGAGUUUAAGCA
rnacentral:rRNA from 1 species